GCAGGAGUCAGUCCCUCUCAGGACACAGCAUGGACAUGAGGGCCCCUGCUCAGCUCCUGGGGCUGCUGCUGCUCUGGCUCCCAGGUGCCAGCUGUGACAUCCAGAUGAGCCAGUCUCCAUCCUCCCUGUCUGCAUCUCUAAGAGACACAGUCACCAUCACUUGCCAGGCCAGUCAGGGCAUUAGCAGUUGGUUAGCCUGGUAUCAGCAGAAACCAGGGAAAUCUCCUAAGCUCCUGAUCUAUGCUGCAUCCAAUUUGCAAUCUGGGGUUCCAUCGAGGUUCAGAGGCAGUGGGUCAGGGAAAGAUUUCACCCUCACCAUCAGUGGCCUACAGGCUGAAGAUUUUGCAACUUAUUACUGUCAGCAGUAUAACAGUUGGCCUCCCACAGUGUUACAAGUCAUACCAUAA